rnacentral:rRNA from 1 species
UACGUAGGGUGCAAGCGUUGUCCGGAAUUAUUGGGCGUAAAGAGCUCGUAGGCGGUUUGUUGCGUCGGCUGUGAAAUCCCGAGGCUCAACCUCGGGUCUGCAGUCGAUACGAGCAAACUAGAGUGUUGCAGGGGAGACUGGAAUUCCUGGUGUAGCGGUGAAAUGCGCAGAUAUCAGGAGGAACACCCAUGGCGAAGGCAGCUCUCUGGUCGACCUCUGACGCUGAGACGCGAAAGCGUGGGGAGCGAUCCGG